AAGCAAUGGUAGAGGUAAUUACUAAGUUACCACUCCUUAUUUCUAUUAAGGUUAUCCAAAGUUUUCUUGGACAUGCCAACUGUUAUCAUCAUUUUAUAAAGGAUUUCUAAAAAUUAACUCAUCUAAUAUGCUACUUGAGAAAGAGAUAAAAUACAACAACGAUGAGGCAUCCUUAAAAUCCUUUGAGCAUCUUAAGGCAUUGCUUAUUUUGGCC
rnacentral:lncRNA from 1 species